UACAGAGGGUGCGAACGUUGUUCGGAAUCACUGGGCUUAAAGGGCGCGUAGGCGGGUGUUCAAGUCUGUGGUGAAAUCCUCCGGCUCAACCGGAGAAUUGCCUCGGAUACUGAAUGUCUCGAGGGUGAUAGGGGUAUGCGGAACUAUCGGUGGAGCGGUGAAAUGCGUUGAUAUCGAUAGGAACUCCGGUGGCGAAGGCGGCAUACUGGAUCACUUCUGACGCUGAGGCGCGAAAGCCAGGGGAGCAAACGGGAUUAGAUACCCCGGUAGUCCUGGCCCUAAACGAUGGGUACUAGCUAGUAGGAUUCACAUGGUCUUACUGGCGAAGCAAAAGUGCUAAGUACCCCGCCUGGGGAGUAUGGUCGCAAGGCUGAA
rnacentral:rRNA from 1 species